UUCUUUGCUUUUGUUUCUCCUCCUUUAUUCUUUUGCAUCCAUCCUGUUUUUGUUUCUCCUCCUUUAUUCUUUUGCGUCCGUCCAUAUUUUGUUUCACGUCAAUAUUCUAUUUUUCCCCUUUUUUGUCUAAUUUUUUGUGCUUUGAUUUUUAGGACAGUCUAACGACGGUGCUGAAGGUUACAAGGCUUUGCCCAUGGAAGAGUUGGGAUAGGCUACUAAAGAAUAAAGGCUAACGGUGGUGUUGAAGGUUACGACGCUUUGCCCAUGCAAGGGCUGCAACAAUAGGACUUGAGGUUGCUGUUCUUUUUGGUUUUUUUAAAAGAAAAUUAUUUCCUGUCAUUUUCGCUACAAGAGUUGUUGCUGAUUUCUUUUUGUUUCUCUUCUAAUUCUUUUUCGUUUUUUAAAAUGCAGGUUCGUAGACACAAAAGCUUAAAUUUUUUGUGGUGUUCUGCCUUUAUUUUGUUUUCUGACUUCUCUCAAUACAAAAGUUUAAAUUUUUUUGUGUUCUUUUGGCAUGUUGUAUGCAGAGAAGGUGGAAAAACACAUUAAAAUUGCGAUUUUUAUCUCAAAAACUUCAUGGGUUCAGAGAAGGUGGAAAAACACAUUAAAGUUGCGAUUUUUAUCUCAAAAACUUC